GACGAACGCUGGCGGCGUGCCUAAUACAUGCAAGUUGAGCGCUGAAGGUUGGUACUUGUACCAACUGGAUGAGCAGCGAACGGGUGAGUAACGCGUGGGGAAUCUGCCUUUGAGCGGGGGACAACAUUUGGAAACGAAUGCUAAUACCGCAUAAAAACUUUAAACACAAGUUUUAAGUUUGAAAGAUGCAAUUGCAUCACUCCAAGAUGAUCCCGCGUUGUAUUAGCUAGUUGGUGAGGUAAAGGCUCACCAAGGCGAUGAUACAUAGCCGACCUGAGAGGGUGAUCGGCCACAUUGGGACUGAGACACGCCCCAAACUCCUACGGGAGGCAGCAGUAGGGAAUCUUCGGCAAUAGACGAAAGUCUGACCGAGCAACGCCGCGUGAGUGAAGAAGGUUUUCGGAUCGUAAAACUCUGUUGGUAGAGAAGAACGUUGGUGAGAGUGGAAAGCUCAUCAAGUGACGGUAACUACCCAGAAAGGGACGGCUAACUACGUG
rnacentral:rRNA from 1 species